ACUGCGGUUCUGAGCGCGCCGUCCGCGCCCACCUGACAGCUGCUCGCGACGUUGUGUUAACC
rnacentral:sRNA from 1 species